GAAAGAUAUGUGGCCCUUGGCCUUAUUCCCUGCCUAUCUGUGAGCAACUCAAGAAUAAAGAGCAUUAUCGUACUCAUCUCUGGAGCCUCAGGAUUCAGCACAGAGCUGCACAAUGUAUCUUCAAUAAAUGUAGAACACUGCCUCGGCCACAAAAACAAGCCCAUGCCAGUUUGGUGGAGAACGAGAGUUCACAUACAGCAGAGAUAAGUCAUCCUAGCUGAGGCCAUCUUAGACUGGCCAGCUCCCAGCUACAGGCCAGUAGAUCACAGAUGCAAGAGUGAGUCCUGCUUAGAUGUGCAGAAUGCAGCCAGAUCCACAGAACCACCCAGCCUACCCAUAGAUUCAUGAAUUCAAACUCAAAAGUAAGAUUAUUGGAGGAGACCUUCAACUGGCAGAAGAGUAAGACGUGGAGAUCACCUUCCCCCCAACAAAUACAUCAGAAAUACAUCUACAUGUGGAACAACUCCUGCAGAACACCUACUGAACGCUGGCAGAAGACCUCAGACUUCCCCUAAGUCAAGAAACUCCCCACGUACCUGGGUAGGGAAAAAGAAAAAAAGAAAAAACAGAGACAAAAGAAUAAGGAAAGGAACUGCUGCUCUGAGAGGGAGCUGUGAAGGAGGAAAAGUUUCCACACACUAGGAAGCCCCUUAACUGGAAGAGACCAGGGGUGGCGGGGGGAAAGCUUUGGAGCCAUGGAAGAGAGCAC